rnacentral:rRNA from 2 species
GCUUGCUCCCGGAUGUUAGCGGCGGACGGGUGAGUAACACGUGGGUAACCUGCCUGUAAGACUGGGAUAACUCCGGGAAACCGGAGCUAAUACCGGAUAGUUCCUUGAACCGCAUGGUUCAAGGAUGAAAGACGGUUUCGGCUGUCACUUACAGAUGGACCCGCGGCGCAUUAGCUAGUUGGUGGGGUAAUGGCUCACCAAGGCAACGAUGCGUAGCCGACCUGAGAGGGUGAUCGGCCACACUGGGACUGAGACACGGCCCAGACUCCUACGGGAGGCAGCAGUAGGGAAUCUUCCGCAAUGGACGAAAGUCUGACGGAGCAACGCCGCGUGAGUGAUGAAGGUUUUCGGAUCGUAAAGCUCUGUUGUUAGGGAAGAACAAGUGCGAGAGUAACUGCUCGCACCUUGACGGUACCUAACCAGAAAGCCACGGCUAACUACGUGCCAGCAGCCGCGGUAAUACGUAGGUGGCAAGCGUUGUCCGGAAUUAUUGGGCGUAAAGGGCUCGCAGGCGGUUUCUUAAGUCUGAUGUGAAAGCCCCCGGCUCAACCGGGGAGGGUCAUUGGAAACUGGGAAACUUGAGUGCAGAAGAGGAGAGUGGAAUUCCACGUGUAGCGGUG